rnacentral:misc_RNA from 1 species
AACCUUGAUACCAGUGACAAGAAUUUGCUGUUCCGUUGCCUGCUCAACGAAUGCUGGAGCUUCUCUAUGAAUUGGUAGGAAGUGGUCCGUCUUAAGAUCGCCUCUCUCAUCAAUGGGUUCUCCAAUAACAUUUAUGAUACGGCCAAGUGUAGCCCUACCAACAGGUACAGUGAUGGGAGAACCAGUAUUGAGCACACGCUGUCCUCUAACAAGCCCUUCAGUCCCAUCCAU